rnacentral:rRNA from 1 species
UGAGGAAUAUUGCUCAAUGGGCGAAAGCCUGAAGCAGCAACGCCGCGUGCGCGAUGAAGGUCUUCGGAUCGUAAAGCGCUUUUGAGAGGGACGAGAUAGGACGGUACCUCUUGAAUAAGUCACGGCUAACUACGUGCCAGCAGCCGCGGUAAAACGUAGGUGGCAAGCGUUAUCCGGAUUCACUGGGCGUAAAGCGCGUGCAGGUGGCUUCGUAAGUUGGACGUUAAAUCUUUCGGCCUAACCGGGAGGUGUCGUUCAAUACUGCGGGGCUUGGGGGUAGAAGAGGGGGGUGGAAUUGCCGGUGUAGUGGUGAAAUGCGUAGAUAUCGGCAGGAACACCUGUGGCGAAAGCGGCCUCCUGGUCUGCUCCUGACACUCAGACGCGAAAGCUAGGGGAGUGAACG